CACACCAUGGCAACCAUUGGAUGAAGACCUCGUCUCCAGAGGACUCCUGUUAACACCAGACGUAUAAUGGGAGUGACACAGUGAUCUGCUGGCACUCUUGAAGACAUCAGCUUGGUCAAGAAUGUUGGCAGAGGCGCCUCAAGAAACACCUGCCUUCCACUCAUGAGCUGAAAUGUCAUUGCUGAAAGCGAGGCAGAUGAGUGGAAGUGGAAAGACCUGGGGCUGUGGGCGUCCUCGUGACCAGCCUGGCAAGGCCCACGCCUGCCCCAUGGAGACUCUGGGGCAGCCUUUGCAGAAGCAAACACUAUCAUCAGGUUUGCAUGAGUUCUGCUCCCUUGUUUUCUCUGCCUCUCGACUACCCACUUUAUUUCAGCCCUGCGGUGAAUUAUAUGUUUGGAGCAGAAGUAGGGGAGAACUCAGCCCCUUAGGAGUCAUGAGACUGUAAGAGGAUGCAUACUGCAGGGUACUUUUUCAGCUGAGAAACAGAAAACAUGGUCUGCUUUUUAAAUCUUACAAACAUACAGGUAAAGUCAACACGUACUUGUUGAUGUGGGGCUUUUGUAACCCAGCAACGUGUAGCAGCAAUCUGCCAGGAUACGCUGAAGCCCCAAUCCUGGGGAGCCACGCGCCAGCCAAGCGAAGAGCGGCUCCCUCUCCACGUCUCGACGUUAAUUCCUCCUUGGUGACACCUGCUUGGUAGAGUAAGGAAAAGGCCUGGAUUUUGCUAAUUUUAUUGUUUCUUAGUUACUAAACAGAAUGAGAUGUAGUCUCUGAAUAAGGGCCUGCCCCGGCUUUGCAGGAACUACAUGUGAAACCCAGGGCCCUGUGCUAAAAAAUGUCCAGCUUGUUUCUCAUCAAGUCACCUUACCUAUCUCAGCACCUGCACAGGCAACGGGACUGCCUGGACAUGCCCACCACUGUUAGGUCAGGUGUCCCUGAAAAGCUCCAUCAAAACACUUUGAAAGAGUGAACACAGCUUCCAAAACUCACACGCCGUUAUGAGCCAUGAGAGAAACUGCUUCCGUUUGACUAACGAGCAACGGCCCGUGCUCUUUUUGUUCCCAUUGCCAACAUUUGCCCCACCUGAGACUUGAGUUACAAACGCCACCACAGCGGUCUUAACAUCUGGCUUCCAAGGGGUCAAACAAUGCAGCCCAAAGUAUGAAAGAACUCUGAACAGUGCAGGGAGAGUAGGAGGCCAAAUGGGACCUCCUGCUGGGCAACCAGCUGUCUUCUUGAAACUCCUCCUGAAGCUGCAGCCAGCAGAGCAGCACAUCUCUGCGUGUGAGGACACCUCCCUCUCCACCUCCCUUUCCUUCUCUCUCACUCUCACUGCCUCGAAUUUGUACCUCCCGAAUAAAACAUCGGCACUAAAUCUUUGCCUCAUU